CCCGUAGCUCCGAAGAUGGGACUCGUGAGGGGCGAGGUGAGCGAGUGCUGUUCUCACUGGGGCUCCGUUUCCUUAGGGGGCGGAACUCUGACCGAAGGAGAGCGGAAUGUGGUCUGACACCGGUGCCGUGAGCAGGGUCGGGCCAAGCAGACACAGGUCCUGCUGUCGUGACAUCUGCAGCUGAAUGGGAAGACAGACAAACAAAGAUACUGAUCAGUCAUCCCACAAAGUGCAGUGCUGUGAAGGUUUGCACUCGGCGCAGGGACCUGGAGCAAGGAGGUGGCCACCAAGGUCUCAGAGAGGAGAUGGCAUCUGAGCAGAGACCUGCAGGAUGAGAAGGAGGCAGCCACUGCUAGAGCCCCGGGCAGGGUGGUCCCGGAAGCCAGCUCAGCAGUAACGCUGAGGCCGGGCACAAGUCGGUCUGUUUGAGGAACAGAAGAAAACCCAGUGUGGCUGCAGUAUGAAGGGGGCAGAGGGGCAAGAAGAAGCUAGCAGCGGGCCAGGGCACCUCGGGCAGGACCUCUGAUCGUGGUAGGGAGCUUGAGUUGUUUUCUGACAGCUGAAGGACUUCACAGGUGCAAAAGCCCACUCCGGCUCUCUGUAGGCUACCAGGCAACAGUGGAUUCAGAGAGGCCAGGUAAGAGGCACUGGUGCAACCCAGACGAGGGACACUGAGGCCUGAACGAGGCUGGUGGCUGCGGAAAUCAAGAGAAUUGGGCCUAUUCAAGACUCAGCACUUGUUGCCCUGGCUGGUGUGGCUCAGUGGAUUGAGCACCGGCCUGCGAACCAUAAGGUCACCAGUUUGAUUCCCAGUCAGGGCACAUGCCUGGGUUGCGGGCCAGGUCCCCAGUAGGGGGCACACCAGAGGCAACCACAUAUCGAGGUUUCUCUCCCUCUCUUUCUCCUUCCCUUCCCCUCUCUCUAGAAAUAAAUAAAGUUCUUUUAAAAAGUCAGUACUUGUUGAAGAUUCAGAGGUGGUGGGUGAGAGAGGAGCAAUGAAGGAGGGCUUUGGGCAUCUAGCCUGAUGGGUGGAAAUUCUCUGCUCCUCUCUGCUCCUGCGACUGAGAGGCAGAACUCUUUCCCUCCCUGCAAUCUGAGCAGGCUGGGGUCUGCUCGGACCGUGCAGUACUGAGUACCAUGUGCCCCACGGACUGGGCCUGCGGAGGAUCCCGAACCGGAAGCUGCACAGAGAGGAGAGGGUGCUAGAGUAGACUGAGCAGGGGCCGCCGGGAGGAAGGAGGAAGGCCGGGCGAGAGCGCUGUCAGGGGCCAGCAGAAGAAAGUCUUCCAGGAAGGAGGGAGUGCUGGCCACUGUGGAACAUUGCCCGAAGUUGGGGUAAGCUGAGGGCGGAGAAGGGUCCUGUAGAUUUGGCAACAAGGCACCGGGGCGACCUUGAUGAGAGCCUCGAAGAGCGAACAUGGACGCUGGAUCGAAAUGGCCCGACCGGCAAAUGGGAGCGAAUAAGUUGGAGAGAACAAGCACAGUCUUUAAAAAAAAAAAAAGGAUUAGGUGUGAAAGGCUUUUCACAAUCAAGGCCGCUCGAGAAACAGCAGGAUUUCCAGCAGCAUUGCUAGGAAUUUGCGAUGCCUCUCGCCUGCCAGUUUGCUCGCUGGCUUGCCCGAGGCCGCACAGCUGUGAGGGGCAGCACAGGACCUGGAGCCCAAGCCUGGAACGCACCUCUGCAGGGGCUGCAACUGCCAGGACGCAAGCGACUCUCACACCCAGCAGCACCUGUGGUUCCCAGCUGUCAGUGCCACAGGGGAAGCGUAGAAAGAGAAACACACUCUCCCUCUUCUGUAAUGUCUGUGUUUCAUGGGUGCUUGGGGGCCAGUUGAACACAAAGGGCCGCUGAGGGCUGCUCCCUCGCAAAGUCUGUUUGCCAAACCAUGCUGCCACUUCUCCAUCUCCAUCUGCAUCGUCACCACUGGUCUCGUCCAACCCCAGGCUAGGAAUGCUGGGAUAUUUGGGGUUCAUGGCUCCCCACCCCAUCCCUUAAUUAUCUGCCCUCCUUCAUUUCCGUGUUACUUUUAUUAAAGAAAAUGCCCCCAGGGAUGGUAAGCUUGGUGUUAUCACAGGCAAACAUCUUAGAAAGUUGGUACUCUCUUCCAGCGACUGUUUACAGAAACAUUUCCACACCUCCCUGGACAUUUCCAGGAAGUCCCAAUAUUUCCCAGCCACGGGUAUUAAUAAGCGGGUCUUGAAAAGUACAGGAAGCUGGUCCAUGGCUUCAGGCACGUUUUACACUUGUACCUUCUAAUCCCUAGGCAAGAGGUGAUAAGACCCCAAGAGCUGGGUGAAUCCCAGUCCCGGAGAAAGAGCCACUUUUCAGAGUUGGAUCCGCAGGGGGAAAUGCCGCCCUGUGACUUGAGGGGCUGUGACACCCCUGAAAAAGCUCUGCUCACGUCCUAGUCCCUGGAACCUGUGAGUGCUACCUUGUUCGGACAGAGUCCUUGCAGAUGAAAUUAAGGGUCUCUGGGUGGGCCCCAGAUCCACUGACAAGCGUCCUUGCAAGAGACACACAGGGGACACAGAAGAGGAGGGGGCCCGAGUGACCAUGGGUGCCGAGGCUGGAGUGACGCGGCCACAAGCCAAGGGACACCUUGGAGCCACCAGGAGCUGGAGCAGGCAAGAAACGGAUCCUCCCCUCAGGCCUUCAGGAGCAGAACAACCCUGUGUGGACACCUUGAUUUUGAACUUCUGGCCUCCAGGGCUGUGAGAAAAUAAAUUUCUGUUGUUUUAAAGUAA